rnacentral:lncRNA from 1 species
CGAGACUCAACCAGGCACUCACUCGCUCACUCUGUUUGUGCGCGCGCGUGUGCGCAGUUUCACAUCCCUGAACCCCUAGGACUUAGUUCUGAAAUAUUCAGAUGCUCAUGUACUGUUCUAACUUGUCAUCUUUGUUACUCAUGGCUUGGUUCUGCAUAAUUGGUAGGAGCAGCAAAUGUGCUCAUGUAAGCUCAUUAGCUUGAUUAGGUAAAAUUGUUAUGAUUUUGUUUCAUAUAUGAAUAGCUAAAUGCAGAGUGUUUUCGUAUAGUUCAUAUCGUUCUAGAUUUUGGACAAAGUACAUGCCUAUUUUCCUUUCUUCGGGUAGUAAAGCCAGGUUGAUUUCUAGACCCAUGAAGAUCUAUGAUCUUAGAUGAAGCCUUCAGACUUUUAAUUGUGUGUUGGCUUUGUCCCUUCUGCGCCACAGCGAUGGCGCUCCUCCUCCUCAUGGCCACGGGUGCAGCAGUAAGAAUGCCCAUCUCAAGGUGCUAGAAGGUGCCGAAGAAAGGUUGCAGCUCGUCAAGGCUGACCUGCUGGACUAUCACAGCGUAGCGUCGGCGAUUGCCGGCUGUGACGGCGUCUUCCAUGUCGCCUGCCCUGUCCCCUCCGGCCGAUCAACCGACCACGAGGUGAAUUGUCAAGAACUGUCUCACAGAGUUAAUUUCUAGAAAUAAGUAUCUUUUUUGAUGAUGUAUUCUUGCUGCUUUGUAGGCAGAGAUCAUAGCUCCUGCUGUAACAGGCACACUGAACAUGCUGAAGGCCUGCCAUGAGGCGAAAGUUAAGCGAGUAGUCAUGGUGUCUUCAGGUGCUGCAGUGGUCGCUAAUCCUAACUGGCCCAAGGGCAAAGCCUGUGACGAAGAGAGCUGGUCAGACGAGGGCUACUGCAGAAAGAAUGGGGUAAGUAACCCAACACCUGUACGGCUGUAUGACUGCUUAGCACUUUAGCCUACGUGGUCUAUUACAUUACACAGGCUCCUACUCAAUGUUUCACUUGGAAUGUAUAGGAUUUAGAGUUGAUUUUAAGGACGACAUUUGCCGCUGUUUUAGAUCAAACUUUUUUAUUCGAGAGAAACCAGCAAGCUCAAUGUAGGACACAAGUGUAUAGCUGCAAAAACACUGCAAAAAUCCCGUUAAGCUCACAUGCCUAUUACAACACCAAAUCCCAGCAUGAGAACACAUGUCCAAAAAGAAUCUUAUCUGGUCAUUGACUUGCUUGCUCGCCUUGAUCACCCUAGAUCUGCAUCAUUUAGCGAGGUUUGGUACACCUUGUGCUGAUCAUCAGAGUCUAAAGUCCAUUUGAACACUGACUGUCUUUUCCGGUUAAAUAUUUCAUUGAUGGAACUCCUUUUUAUGUCUUGAGCCCACCCUAUUCUUUGUGUCGGUGGGAUACUAUUGAUCUGAGCCAUGCAUACAUGUCUCAUCGGCAGUUCACGAUUUGAACUAGACCCUUGAAAUUACUUCUUAUUAACAAAACUUAUGGCCAAGAAGGCGCAAAAGUUGCAAAGCAAACCAGCCAAAACCAAUUAGAAUUUUUUUUUACAAGGUCUAGGCUAGCCAAGACCUAUAAACUAACCAAGUAGGAAGAAUGCCAAAACAAAAAAAAGCAAAACAGAGCAAAACCCCACUGGUAGUUGGCAUUGACUGAAAUUUUAGUUUUGACUCAUAGGUUGGCUCUUACUCAAAACAGGCAAAAAAUUGGUUUUGACUCAAAGUCACUUUUUAUUAAUGCACUCUGUUACUAUUUUUCGCUCUGUUUUCGAAGAGAUAGAAUUUGCUAAACCAUGGUUCAGCUUGUCCAUGUCUCUAGACCACACAAGAGAGGAUUUUCCAAAAGGGAAGCAUCAUCAACAGUUUGAUUUCAGCUUUCAGUUAAUGCAAAAUUCUUCCGCUAACCACACAAGAUAUUGCUCCUGUCUUGUUAUUCUUAUAGAAGAUAAUUGUUUUUUCUGGAUCACCCAUUCAAAUAACAAAACAAAAAUGUGUUGUUAUUUGGCAGGAUUGGUAUUACCUUUCCAAAACACUAGCGGAGCGCGAGGCUUUUGCUUAUGCAGCAAAAACUGGGUUGGACAUUGUAACUAUUUGCCCAUCAUUGGUAAUUGGACCCUUGAUGCAGUCUACAGUAAAUUCGAGCAGUAAAGUUCUCCUUAAUUAUUUGAAAGGUGGGUGUGUUAUGUUAGACUUCUCUUUGUUUUCAUUAUAUAAAAUUAUGGACAUCAAAAAGGAUCUCUGCACUUGGUUUCACGUUUCCAACUGAACAAAAGAUACUAUAUAAUCACAAAACAACCUGCAUAUCACUAAAAUGAAGGCUGUUCACGCUCCUUCUCUCUUUUUCUCUCUUCCACGGAUCCUCUAUUUUUUUUCUUCGACGGGUCCUCUCUUCCUCACAAACCCUCCUCAUGUACAAUAUAUAUUCUGUAAAUUUGGCUGUACCAAUAUUUAGGUAUAUGCUCAUAACAAAGGGGUUGGAGUGGUGCCCUGGGGUGACAGCCGACAGUGGAGAAAGAUGUGAGCGCCCACCUCUUCGAACUAUGGUUAUACUUAUAUACGCAAGUUCCUGUUGUAGCACUUGAACUAAGGUACUUCUAGCAAUGUUUUGGUCUAUUUGGUGAUUUUUGUACUCAUGAAUCGUGAAUGGCAUUACAAAGAUGGAGCUUUUCGAAUAUUUUCAAACCUCCAAGAGAAUCAGAUUUCAGUUUAGUAUUACAAGGAUAGGAAUGAUAAAUGCAUUAGUACUGUUGGGCUUUCUUAAAUGUUGUUGGGUUUUCUUAAAUGUUGUUUGGGGUUCGGUGGUGGUAGCGAAAAAACACGAUAUAUUUUAAUUUUAUGUUCCUCUUAACACAGGAAAACUAGGAGAGAUGGUGCAAACUGAUGGCCAAAGUUGUGGUGCUUUGCAAGGUAACACAUAUGUCCCUGGCCUAUCUUUAUGUAUCAUGAUGUUUCUAUUUGUAUACAAAUGCAGUAAUGCUUAUUACAAAGCCAGUGCCCUUUUUAGGCAACCAAAUCAAAUGAUCUUGUGUAUCAUGGUUUUUUUCCAACAAAGCAUCCUAGAUCAAAUAGUUGUGUGAAUAAGCGAAUGAUACAAGUAUUAAGCUUUACAGAUCUGUUCAAGCGUGUACCUUUUCUUUUACAUUUGCUUGCUCCUUUUGUCAUUUGAAACUGGCAGUGAACAUGUAAAGUAAUUCAAAAGGGACAAUUCUUCUGAUUUGUAUAUCUAUCUCAGCCCUUGCUUGAAAACCUAAAAAUUGACUUGCAUCCUUAUCAGACGACACUUUCUCUUCCUUAUUUCAUAGAACAAAGCAAUUGAAAUUGGAUAUAGAACAAGUCAAACAAAUGCACUUCAUAUAUAGUCUAGGGUGAUUAGAAUCUUACCAAUCCUAACGGAAAUGACUAAUAGGUUUAUUCAUCCAGACCCACAUUUAAGACCAUAGGGAAGAUAUUUGAUAUUCAUAAUCUGCAUGUCUUACAGAUUCACUUAAAAUAUUCAAAGUGCAAAGUACCUAGGAGUUGGUAUCUUCUUGUAGCUUCAUGUGCUCAUAUCAAUGUUGGAUUUUUUUUCAAUUUUUAGGUACCUAAUAUGGCUAAAUGCGUAAUGAAAAGGUCUGUCUUCCUAGCCUCCUAGAUCCAAGAUUUGCACGAAUAAGCGAAGGAUAUUUGUUUCAAAGCCUCUGUUACGAGUGAAAAAUGUGGCAAUGGAAGUAAGGAGUCACAGCUUACUUCUAUUCGGAUUCCAUCUCUACUAGGACAAUCCUGAUAUCCUUAUCAUCAUUUAUAUUCAAUUCCUUGGAGAUUCAUAAAGAAGGCAUGUGCAAAAUAUCUGAAUCUGGAACAGAUCUACACUUGAGGUUUUUUAUUGCAUUUUCUGUAUCUUAUUCUUUUGUAGGAAUGCAUCCAUAAUUUCGGUUUAAAAUUUGUUUGGAUGGUUCAGAAUCUUCAGAUGGCAUGGAUGAGACAUAAUUUGUUGUAUUCGGAUAUUUUUCAUGGUUACAAGUUAGGAAAUUUUGGUUCUAUUGCCAGAGCAUACUUUAUCUUUUCAUUUCCAUCAAUCCAUCUUGAUGUGUGAUCGGGUCGCUGUGUGAUGUUGUUAGCUAUUGAUAUGGUGUCUGUUUACAUCUGUUCAUAAGUACACUCUUUGACUAUUGUUUAUUUGAGACAUAUAGCAAGCACAAGAAAAAUCUGCGUGUGAAUUCCUAGAUAGCUUUUGAUAUUUUGGUCCUCUGGCCUUGUUCACACAUAGUGACUAACAGCCUUGGAAAAUUGGAUGGUCCUUGUGUCGGUACUUUACCAGAUUAUCGCAGAUAAAUUGCAAGAACCGGAAAUAUGUAGCUCCAGAAUUAGGGAACUAGAAAUAACUGAUUAUUUUCGCCAGAAAAUAGCUAGGUUUUUAUAGACCUUCAUUAUUAUAUACUUUUGCAUUUGCUGCAUUCUUUCUUUCAAGUUGUUUCAUUAUUUUUCCAUGUUAUCAUUAGGAUGCCCAGUGUAUUUCUGUUCAUAUGUACAUGCAUUGUGUAUGGUUUAUUUGUCCUAUCUGCCAGUGUCUAAGCGUGACAAGCAGCAAAGAGGGAGGGGGUAUUUCAAAUACAAAGCAAAAUGUGCACAAAAUAGAUGCGCCUCACACUGUCAUAGUAUAGACUGGAACAAAAUACACAUUGUAUAUAUAUAAUUACUACUAUUAUCCAGUGCUCAUGAUUUAUGUUCACAUAGAUACAUGGUAACAACAACAUACCUGGUAUUAUGGACAAUGACUACUCCAUUGCCACAACUGUAGAAUACACCAGACUGGCCAAAAGUGCUCCACUGCCUCAACUGUAGAAUACACCGGACUGGCCAAAAGUUGUCCAUAGCCACAACUAUAGAACACACUGGACCGACCAAAAGAUGCCUACAUAUGACCAAUAACUACAGAUAUGCUCUCCUGGACCAUGGUUUGUUGUUUAACCACUGUUACCUGACCAAAAAUUCAAAAACCACUGUCACCUCUUUUCUGAAUCAGAAGAUGGCUGACUCUCUGAUAUACUACUAGAAAAAAGCAUAGCCCAAAAAGCAUGAAUGAAUGAUGGAUCUGAACAUGUACUUCAUUAGUGAUGUGCAUAGCACAAAAAAUAUGGAUGGCAAUACAUGGCUGACGGAAAUGGUAACUUCAAAAAUUACAUGACAACCAAAACUUUAUGCAAGUCUAUGAAGAAAAUCAUUGUAUCAUUUUUCUUUAAUUAAUUUCGAAACAUACCUUCCUCUUGCAGCAGUCUUGCUCAUUCGGCCCUUCAACAGCAGUUCACCGAUUAGUUUAUCAGUCGGCGGCGGCAGCAGUGGUCUUCAGCACGGCAGCAGGCAGCACGAGCGGAGAAGGUAGUGAGAGAAGGAGAAGAAGCAGCAGAAACUAGCAGACACCCCGCACCCGUUGUGGCGGCCUGGAGGGGCGGCGAGAGUUGGCAAGGCAGGCGGCCAAUGGUUGGCAGUAGUGAGAAGCGAGUGAAAGACCUGGUUGACUUGGGGAAAGGAGGAGAACAGAGGACUGGUCGAUUUAGGGAAAGAAGAGCAGAUAAGGUUUGGUAGAUUUGGGGGAAAGGAGGAGGAGAGACGAGCGUGCGUGACAGCAGGUAGUCGGUGUAUUGGGCUUGGAUAUAUUUGAGCUGGGCCAAAUGCUUAUAGUGUACUUAAUUAUCCUUUUCAAUUAUGAAAUGGUGGGUCGUGGCACCCAUUUUAAUUUUGCAUGUUCUGUUAGGUUGCCUUCUGUAUGCCAGUUAGUAUUCAGUUUUCUUUUCUUUUGUUUGUUUGUAUUUCUUAAAAGCUAAUGUUGUUGCACAGUUUUUUUAACCUUUUCUUUUUGCUGGGAGAAAGAUGAUGCUCUUUCUUAGAAAAUUACUUAUUAGAUGGAACGGUAGUCACCUUGCAAAGUUCUUCCACCAAAUGUUUUUGUGUGUGCAACUUAUGAUCGGUUUUUCUAUUCAUUUAUUCUACAGUUUUAUUCUGCAGAAA